GCUGCUCUGUCUAUGGAGUAGCCAUUCUUUUAUUCGAAUACUUUACUCUCCUAACAAACUUGCUUUCAUUUUACUCUACAGACUCACCCUGAAUUCUUUCUUGCACUUGCUCUAAGAACCCUCUCUUGGGGUCUGGAUCCGGACCGCUUUCUGCUAACACUUCUACAUACCACGUUUAUUUGAGACAGAAAAAUACAGCAAGGACAUCCAUCUAAACUUUGUCUGGAGUCUGGGCCCAGGGGAGCUGCAGUACAUGGAGGGUCUCUGGAAGUGGGUAUGGCAGAUUAGCGCCUAAGCUCAACUGGCUUUCCUCCUCUGCCUCUGUUCCUGGGACUUGCUCACGGCUCACAAGGUAGCUUCCCACUGUCAGUCCAUCAGCAACAGCCAGUUAGAGUCGAUUGGGUGUGAGAAGCGAGACUAUUCAUAAGCAGCCUGUCCCCUGUGCCACUGGCUUAUUAAGCAGAGCUAGGCAUAGACAGCUGGGAACUCUGGGCAGCUCCUUUAAAUUUCUCUUUGAAGAAUGUUAAGUAUUCACCAGCAGUGAAGGUUACAAAGGCUGAAGUUUUCUCUCCACCCCCAGCAUUUCCCAGGGGAGUAAAAGGAAGGAUCAAAGCUACAAUGGGCUUGGCUGCCCUUCUCCAGGAAUGGCCAGAGGACAACUUCUGCUUGGAAAGUUCCUGGAUACUUCUGGAACAGAAUUCUCCUGGGGUGAGUGGUUCACACAACUGACCCACUUCAUCCCCACUCAGCAAAAUGAGAGCGCCGUUGACUGACAACAAAAUGCUGAACUGGAAACCUCCGCAGUAAAACGUGAUGCAGAACAGAGAAAGAACUAAGAUGUUCUGCACAGACGGUAUCAUGCCCUCUAUGAGGAAACUACUCGAGCAUAUCUGUGUUUCAAAUGAUGUCUUUGAACUAUUUAUGUUAAAUGCCCCCCCAAAAAAAUGGAAAGGCUUCUUCGUAGAGGAAAGAGCUUGAAGUUGCUAGGCUGUUCUGCCUUCAACAGGCAUUUAUUGUGCAGCUACAAAAUGCUGCACCAAGCACUGGGCAGUGGAAAGGUGAUUCAGACACAGUUCCUUUGACAAAACCUCAAAAUCCCAUGUGAAGUUCUCUUUUAUAAAGUAAAUCAGAAAAGAUUCAAAAGUUGAGGUACCAAAAAAAAAUAAUAUAAAUGCAAGUAGUAAAGCGCUAUUGACUGUAAAUAGAAGCACUUAAUAAGUGGUUGUUGUUUCUGUUCUUCUCUCUAAUAAGUGUAUACAGGUGGCUAAAUGCUUUUGUUGAGCUAUGAGUACCUCAUUCUGUGGAGUGACUCAGAAAGUCUCUAGGUGUUAGACUGGAAACAGGUGAUGUUCAGUGCACGCAAUGCUUGAAGUGUUCCCAGGUAUUUAGUUUCAGGUAAAUUUUACUGUUUAAAAAAAUUGUUUUUACUUGCUAUUAAGUGUGUUGACCUUGGAUAAUUUACUUAACCUCUCUAUGCCUUGCUUCCUUUUCUGCAAAAUGAGAGUAAGAAAAGUGCUUACCUCAUUGGCUUUUUGUGAAAUUCAAUGAGUUAACACGUGGGAGAAAAGAUGUUUUUAAAUAAUCAAUUCUUAGCAGUUGGUCAUUGUUAUGAGUUACAUCAUGCGUAGUUAAAUAUUUUUUAAAAAAUUAAAAUUUAUUUUCCUAUAGG